rnacentral:tRNA from 1 species
AGAGCCUUAGGUUAAAGAGACCCCGGGCCUUCAAAGCCCUAAGUGGGGGUGGAACUCCCUCAGGCCCUG